rnacentral:piRNA from 1 species
UGAGCAAGAGUGGCACUGCUGGCCCGGUGGU